rnacentral:rRNA from 1 species
GAAUAUUGGACAAUGGGGGCAACCCUGAUCCAGCCAUGCCGCGUGUGUGAAGAAGGUCUUCGGAUUGUAAAGAACUUUAUGUUGGGAGGAUGGGCUUUAGGUUAAUACCCUGAAGUUUUGACGUUACCAACAGAAUAAGCACCGGCUAACUCUGUACUAGCAGCCGCGGUAAUAAAGAGGGUCCAAGCGUUAAUCGCAAUUACUGGACGUAAAGCGCGCGUAGGUUGUUCAGUAAGAUGGGUGUGAAAUCCCCGGGCUUAACCUGGGAACUGCUUUCAUAACUGCUGAGCUAGAGUACGGUAGAGGGUAGUGGAAUUUCCUGUGUAGCGGUGAAAUGCGUAGAUAUAGGAAGGAACACCAGUGGCGAAGGCGACUACCUGGACUGAUACUGACACUGAGGUGCGAAAGCGUGGGGAGCAAAC